UUUUGACGUUUUUGUUUACAAUUGUCUAUUUGCAUCGUUAACGUACUAGUGUGAACAAUUAGUACAGGUUUUUUUCACUGACCGACACUUAGAGUGCGAUCGCGUCGCAGGGACAGUUCGGUCUAAGUACUCCUGCGACUGCCGGCGAUGGGUCUGCGACGCUCAGCGACUGGAAAAUUGUCAGUCGCCGCGAGUAACGCAUGUUCUAAUGUUGCGACGUGACGCGACUGUUUCCACCCUUCGCUUGCAUUGUUUUACCCGACAUAAGCUGCCUUGCGACCGCUGCGACGAGAUUCGAAUGCAUAAUGAACA